rnacentral:rRNA from 1 species
CCUACGGGAGGCAGCAGUGGGGAAUAUUGCACAAUGGGGGAAACCCUGAUGCAGCAACGCCGCGUGAGUGAAGAAGUAUUUCGGUAUGUAAAGCUCUAUCAGCAGGGAAGAGAAUGACGGUACCUGACUAAGAAGCCCCGGCUAACUACGUGCCAGCAGCCGCGGUAAUACGUAGGGGGCGAGCGUUAUCCGGAUUUACUGGGUGUAAAGGGAGCGUAGACGGUUCUGCAAGUCUGAAGUGAAAGCCCGGGGCUUAACCGCGGAACGGCUUUGGAAACUGUGGAACUGGAGUGCUGGAGAGGCAAGCGGAAUUCCUAGUGUAGCGGUGAAAUGCGUAGAUAUUAGGAGGAACACCAGUGGCGAAGGCGGCUUGCUGGACAGUAACUGACGUUGAGGCUCGAAAGCGUGGGGAGCAAACAGGAUUAGAUACCCCAGUAGUC